GGGAGGGAGGGAAGGAGGGUAGGUGGGUGGGAGGUUAGAGGGUUUAAAGGUAGAACUGAGAGGAUAAGAACGAUAAGGAGGAGGAAUUGGAGAUAUAACAGGAGUGGAAGGUGGUGGAGGUGCGGAGUAAAGCGAAAGAAUGGACAAUUGAUAGAGGCAGCUGGAGGAGAUGUGAACGGCCAAAGCGAGAGAAAAGGAAAUUUAGUGAAGAAUAGGAAGGUGAAGCGAGACAGUAGCAGUCAGAGGAUAGAGCUGGAGGGAUCGAGAGGUUAUACUGGAUGAAAGCAAUCAAUAAGAGAGUAGGGACUGGGAGACGUGUAUGCCUGUGUGUGUGUGUGUGUGUGUGUGUGUGUGUGUCUCAGUCGAUGAAGCCCAUCUCGAGCAUAUCUCUGUCACCUGGAGAGUCUUUAAUAAAGUCUCCAUGUUGGGGGUUUCAUUCGCUCCCAGAGGGGACAGCAUCUCUCUACAUGAGCCGUCUCGCACCUGACCAACAGAAAGUAAAAUGGGCUACGAGAGCAGGCGCACACCCCCAUGUGUCAGCUGUACGUGUGUGCGUGUUUGUUUAAACCCGUGAGUGCAGAUUUUAAGAGUAGAAGAGGGAAUCAAGAGAGGACUGUUGGUGUUACUGUAUGUGGUUAAUUUGCUUCGAUAAGCCAUUUUAUAUCUCAGUCAAGUUAUUUCUUUCACAGACACCAAAAAAAAUGGAAUCACAAGAAACACUCACUGUCCUUGAGAGUUAAAGUCGAAUUAUCAAGAACGUCUAAUAAAAAAAUAAUAAUAAAACUACUUAAAUGUAAGAAAUGUUUGUCUUUUUCUCCUCCUUGACAAAAAAAGGACUUUUCUAAGUUCCUACUGGAGUUUUCUGACAUAUUUUAUGGUUUAAUUCAGGAAUAAUCAAUCAGUUAUCUGUGAACACAAUCCUGCUGGCUACAAGUUUGGUCUCAACCCACAGUAGUAUUGAAAGUCUUGAGGUACAGAUCCACUAGCUGUGACCAAUACACCUGGAGUUGCACCAUCAUCCACUCAUCAUAAAUUAAUAAAUCAGAAAUCUGCAUGUGUCCAGAUAAUCUAAAUUUUACAGUUAGACAAUAUCAGUAUAAAGACAUUCAUUCACAAAUGCUGCGGUAGGCUGAGACAGCUGCAGAAAAUCACCACUGUAAUGUUUUUGUAUUUGCAUUUUGCACAUAAAAUUCCUGCUAACCAAAAUAUGGUCCAAUAUAAAUGAAGUAAAACCAAAUUCACCCCAAAGCCCAAAGGAGCAAAUCUUACAGUAACAGUUUCAAGGCUAACCUAAACAGACACAGUACAUGGUGCAAUAACCUAGCAGAUCCAAACCCUCUCUGUUACCGUUUCUCAUUAUUACCAAAAAGGACGUGCUCACCAUUUGUACCUAAUUGCUUUGGCAGUAUUGUUUCUGUGCUUUCAGUCCAAUUGAGCUCAUUAAACUGGAACAGUGUUGGUUUGUGAGCGUGCGGCAUGGUGGACUGAAACCGCCCGCUUCAUUGGUAUUCUGCACCUAUCUGCCCCACAGACCCAUCAGAGAUCCAACAAGUACAAAAAAAAAUGGACCAUUAGGAAGCAAUGAGUCCUCUGCUGUAGAGCGAAAACACACACACACACACACACACACAAACCUUUCUUUAAGAUUCCACAGAUGAAACAGCGCGACAUACAGUAAGCCAAUUAGCUACUACACCAUUAUGUUCAAUAUCAAGUUAGCAGGAAGGAGGUCAUUAAGUGAACGUGUGGACUUAAGUGUUAAACGGAGUCCAAUAUUUGUUUUCAGGUUGUGUUUGUAGAGGAGAAAAACAAAAGAAAAACAACAAAAUACAUGUUUGGUCAAAAAAUUAUUUUCUCUUGAGUUGUUGUCUUGGGGGAUCUGGCUGUAAUUUUAGCAAAAUUAAAUGAUUUGGAAACUCAAAUGAGAUCCCAGCAGACUGCCAGGAAAAAAAAUCAAUCGAAUGGUCGGAGCUGUGGUGAAGCAGAAAGCGCACACACACAGCUCUGUCCACACAUUCAUACUGCCACACACACACACACACACACACACAUUUCUGAAAACGCCGAGGCUAAAAACUACCUCACACACAUUCUUCACACCCUGGUGUAUCCUUCAAGAACAAUUACAGGCAGUCUUUCUGGGCAGAGAGCCUCCGUCCUUUCAGGUGUUCAGGUGUUCAGGGAGGGAGAAAUUCGAGAGAACAGGUGUGUGCUUUGAAUAGUUUUACUAUUUCUUACAAGUAACUUCAGUGGGAAAUGGCCGGAUUAACAUUCAACCAAAAAACUUAGAGAAAGUUUUUGAAAGGAGUACGAUCAAAACCUUCUUCCUCUUUCUUAUCUGGGUGUUAAAACUCGAAAGUCUCGAUGAGCCAGAGCUAAAAAAUGGAACUACAGUGAAACAGUUCUGUUGCUGAAUGCUGAAGCUGGGUGGUGAUUAGCCUAGCUUAGCGUAAAGACAGGAAGCAGGGGAACAGGUAGUUGACAAAAUACCUGCUAACACCUCUAAAGCUCACUUAGUAUAAUAAUGGGCUGUUGCCAUUUCUUAACAAAAGCAGUUUAUCCAUUUACCCGGAAACUCUGUUCUGUUGUUUUUGGAGUCUGGAAAAAUGGCUGAAUGGAUAGUUGACCUUUCUUGUGUGCUUAUGCAGCGAGGAAAGAGCGGAGCUUGAACCUCGCUGGUUCUCUAAUUUUUUUCUUGACAGACCUUCACUUUCGGUUCGAAUAUCCAGCUGCAUAUGGUAUAAACUCGUCCUGAUGAAGUAAACUCCGACACUCAGGCUGUAAAAUCUCACAGCAAGGAGGUUCAUUCAGAUUAUCGGAUCAUGCACAUCCCAACUUUCUGUUUUUAUUUCUUUUUAUUCAAUAUUGUACUCGCUCUAUAUACUAUAUACAUUUGCAGCCCUACUGCAAGCAUUGUGCAAUAUGACAACCUUCCCUAAAGAGUGCCCAACAGGAAUGGUGUUGGUGUUGAAGUCUGUCAAGAUAAGGCCUGACCAGGAUGUCCCCACAUAAGGGGUUUCAGUGUGACCUCCUUGUUCCUAUUCAGACACAUUGAAAAGUUCUCUCUGUGCUAAAUCUACCUCCUUAAAAUGUUCUCUUUCUCUUGUUUGGUCGUCUUCCUUCACCUUCAAGGUGACCAGUUGUCCCGAUUUCCAGGGACAGUCCCUGUAUUGGAUGACCCGUCCCCGGCUAAAGCCGUCCCUGGAAAUGUCCCAGAUUUAAGCGGUUCAUGAAUGAGAACUAAAAUGUUGCAUGUAGACUAAACAACGGUUAUUACGGCAGCCGAGUAGGUAGGAAGCACAAACGGCUUCACUACAGAACGGUGGCAAUUUUCCCCAUUCGCCAAUUCCAACAGGAUGGGUUUGUGAGGCGAAUUUUGUGGUGGAUUUCGGACAGCAGGAAUCGCAAGAACUCACAAGAAGCCACAGAUUUACAUGCAAUUGUGCAGUAACGGGUUGUCUGUAUAAAGACAGCCACAGUCCCCAUAUUGAAUGACCUGUCCCCGGCUAAAGCCAUCCACGGAAAUGUCCCAGAUUUAAGCAUUUUAUGAAUGAGAACAAAAUGUUGCGUGUAGACUAGAACAAUGGUUAUUACGGCAGCCAAGUAGGUAGGAAGCACAAAUGGCUUCACUACAGAACGGCAGCAAUUUUCCCCAUUUGCCAAUUCCAACAGGAUGGGUUUGUGAGGCGAAUUUUGUGGUGGAUUUCGGACAGCAGGAAUCACAAGAACUCACAAGAAGCCGCGGAUUUACAUGCAAUUGUGCAGUAACGGGUUGUCUCUAUAAAGACAGCCACAUAACCAUAUAAGCAGUAUAUGCGCUGCUACAAAGUAGUAGCUAGAUGUUUUCUGUGUUCAGGCACCCAAUGACCCCUUUGGGUUAUUUAAAUUAGUUAUUUAAGUUAUUUAAAAAGCCAGCAUAAAUAAGUAUGUUUUUAAUCGAGAUUCAAAGAGGCCAAGGUCGGAAAUAAGUCUCAUUUCGUUGGGGAGCUUAUUCCAGAGUCGCAACUGAAAAGGUUCGGUCACCCUAAUACUUGAGUUUUGACCUCGGCACCUCCAGCAGAAGUUGAUUUGACAACCUCAGAGCUCUAUCCUGCUCCCGACCGGUUAAAAGCUCAGUUAAAUAGAUGGGGGCAAGGCCGUUAGGAGGUUUAAAAUCAAACAUUACAUUCAUUACAGAAAUCUGGUCACCUUAUCCACCCUCCUUCUUCACCUUAUCCACCCUCAAUCUUUUCCUACGGGGAUCCUCCUCUCCCUCCUGUCCUCUACCACCCCGCCCCCACCCCUUCCAACCCUGUCAUCUAUCUCCCAUCCUCCUCAAAACUUUCACAACUCCGAUUUCCCUUCUCUGUCUUUGCUCCCCCCUCUCUCCUCUGUCUCUUCAAAGUCAUCUCAGGCUUUGCUGUCAUUGCGCUGAGAAUUACACAUCGCUCAAAGCUGUAACAUCUGACAAAACGCUGCUCACUGACAUUGUCGGUAGUAGCACGUCGUCUGAUAGAGAAAGUUCACUCAAGCAGCCAUCCUAUUAUCCAACCAGUCGCACACACACGCAUACACACACACGCAGGAACUGUACCUACACUUUGACAGUUGUAGAUACAUCCUAUUUACCUUGUGGCGGCCUCCCGAAGGGACAGCGACAACCACACAGUUUCGCAACUCCAAAUAGCAAACACAAGCAAGCGUGCAAAGCAAUCGAAACACACUAUUCUCCUCUUCCUCCCUCCCACUCUGCAUUAAGUGCAUUCGAGUGGCUGGUAACAGUCACAGCGUCAGGCUUUUAUCGCUGUAAUUUGUAGCCAUACAUCAGUGUGACAGCGACCGGGGCAGGACAGUGUCGGCCCGCUUCCAGACACUGCUGCACUCUUCACUGACACACGCCAAGGGCAGCCAGAUAAUGUAGAUGUAUGAAUAAAACAACACAACUUUGAUGUCGCAGAUCACAAUGCAUCAUUCAUUCACAUCCACGGCGAGACGCGCAACGUGAGGGAUGCUGUUCGUUUACAGCCGCGAGGAGGAGAUAAGGGAUGCAAAGGGAUAAGCGAUGCACUGGUCAUGGCUGGACUUCAAUCAGGAGAGAGCUCCAGUAAAAAAUAUAUAACGCACUAUUUAUGCAGUGGCUCACAUCUGCAUUCAAAAGGAAACUGCCAGGGGGGAGGGCUGCCUAGUGAGAGAGAGAGAGAGAGAGAGAGGGAUGGAGAGAAGGAUGAGAAGGAUAAAAUGUCAUAGCUGGAGUUUGAUAGACGAGGAAGGUCCAUCCACUCCAUCUCUGAGUAUAUGGAGGGAUAGAGAUGAAGGGGAAGCAGGGGGAUGAAAAGGGAGCACAGAGAUAGCCGCGAGGUAGAAGGGUGACCGAACUAGAGAGAGAGAGAGAGAGAGUGAGAGGGAGUAACAGGACCGGACAGGGAGAAAACGGUGCGGGUAAAGCCAAGGGAUUAGGGGAGCAGAGAAAUGGAAGGGGAAAGUUAUAAUGGUUUGUCGGUGCAGAGGAAAUGGAGAGAAAAACGUGCAGGCUGAUGAAGGUGAAG